rnacentral:rRNA from 1 species
UACGUAGGGGCUAGCGUUGUCCGGAAUCAUUGGGCGUAAAGCGCGCGUAGGUGGCCUCAUAAGUCCGCUGUGAAAGUCCAAGGCUCAACCUUGGAAAGCCGGUGGAUACUGUGAGGCUAGAGUACGGAAGAGGCGAGUGGAAUUCCUGGUGUAGCGGUGGAAUGCGCAGAUAUCAGGAGGAACACCAAUAGCGAAGGCAGCUCGCUGGGACGUUACUGACACUGAGGAGCGAAAGCGUGGGGAGCAAACAGGAUUAG